UACAGAGGGUGCGAGCGUUGUUCGGAAUUAUUGGGCGUUAAGGGCGCGUAGGCGGUGCCACAAGUCACCUGUGAAAUCCCCGGGCUUAACUCGGGGCCUGCAGGCGAAACUGUGGUGCUGGAGUAUGGGAGAGGUGCGUGGAACUUCCGGUGGAGCGGUGAAAUGCGUUGAUAUCGGAAGGAACGCCGGUGGCGAAAGCGACGUGCUGGACCUCUUCUGACGCUGAGGCGCGAAAGCCAGGGGAGCGAACGGG
rnacentral:rRNA from 1 species